AUUCUCUGCUAAACUCUUUUUUCCUCAACAACACAAAACAAAAUCACAAUCAAACAUAAUCAAAGGCAAAUCAUAAUCAAAGUUAAGAAAAAUCUUUGAAAAUCAAGCCAAAUCUCGGGCAACUUUCCCUCACCAUUUCGCAUGUUUGCUAUGUCGCACGACCCAAAAGCCAUCCUUUACGAAUCGAUUUGCUUCAACAUGGAUGAUUCUUUUGCUUUCUCUGCCAACUGGUGGCCAUUGUUGAAGCUUCAGAUUUGAGAAGAGUAGUGAGGUUUAAGAACCAAGCAUUCGCAUUCACCUCACUCCACAAUAGCCAAAAGCACAGAAAAUAGGAAUUAAGAAAUUAUUACCCAAAUCAAACUCUACUCCAUCUCUACUCCAAUAUUGACAAAUUAUUCCUUAUCCAAAUCAAACUAAAACCAAAAAUUGAAAAGUUGUCUAUUCCACAACCAAAUCAAACUCUCCUCCAUCUCUACAAAAAGUUCACUCUCCAGUGUUGAAUCAAGCUAUUGGGUGUGUUGAAUCAAGAUAUGGCAGGGUUGCACUGAUUGGCCUUGGAAUCGCUAGAAACAAAUGUUGUAACAGCAGGUCACAUUCUUCCUCUUCUUUUGUUCUUGAAGGCAAAGAACAUAUUUUUUUUUUCUCUUUUUCUAGCCGAAAAUAUUUCCUUCAGUUUCACGUGUGUUUAAUGUCGCGUACAUAACAAGUGCUUAGCUACUAUGAAAAAGUCCUUAAUCUAAAAAUAAUAAAGUUCUAAAAUACAAAUUGACCAAAUAAAGUUAUAAAGAAUCAAUUAAAAAUAUAUAUAUAAAAAGUUCAGAGGCAAAAUGAUGUGUUUUGCCAUUUUUUCUAAGUUAUGGCCAAUGAAAAUUUGCAGCAUUGGAGUCCUAUAACUACUUAUGAUUAUGUCACAGUUGAAUAUAAAGGACAUGUGUACCAGACAGAGACCAAAAUGGCUAAAAUUAACCAAGGAAAUUCAUGAUCACCAAAUGGAGCACCAAAUUGCAGAGAACAAAAUCAGCAAAUGCACGCUCUGGAGGUAAAUCCUUGAAUUCCUUGUUUUCUUUGUUCACUUGGAUACGGAGACAAACAGCAAGGACAGCUGUGCCUACACAAGAAAGUACUCCAGACAGAAAAGAAUUGAAUGGAAAUGAUCCAACAAUAGCCAUGUAAACUACCUGAAUCAAAGCAGUGAAAACCGCGAAACCCACAUACAGAUCAAUGAUCUUGAGGCUGGUGGGAGUGGCGGCAUAAGCAGAGCGAAGGGAAUUGAAGAGAGCUUGAGCAUCCUUGCUGGUUGAUCUCGCCAUUUCCAAUCAGAAAACAGAGCUCUAUGCCACCAACUGCAAGUUCAAAUUCGUUACGGUUUGGGAAGAUUAUUAGGGAUUGGAAACCCACUGACGAUAGACCAGAGUACGGCAGUUGACUGACACCAUAAAACGCAAUCGUCUAGGCAAGCAGG
rnacentral:misc_RNA from 1 species